rnacentral:misc_RNA from 1 species
AAGUCGUAACAAGGUUUCCGUAGGUGAACCUGCGGAAGGAUCAUUAGCAAGAUUGCACCCCGACUUUUUGGGGAGCAAGUAUGCCAUCCUUGUGUUCUGUAUACUGUAAGUGUUGUACCUUUGUGUGCCUCUCUUUUGAGCACACAACUGUACCACUGUUUUUUACACCCAUCUCUAUUUCAUUCUUAACCUCUUUUUGCUUGGCAACAAGCAUUAAAAACAAUCGAAAACUGCCAGCAACGGAUCUCUUGGUUCUG